rnacentral:rRNA from 1 species
ACAGUGGACGCGAGCAUCUGUGGCCAAGUUUUUAAGGGCGCACGGUGGAUGCCUUGGCACCAGGAACCGAUGAAGGACGUGGGAGGCCACGAUAGGCCCCGGGGAGCUGUCAACCGAGCUUUGAUCCGGGGGUGUCCGAAUGGGAAACCCGGCAGUCGUCAUGGGCUGUCACCCGCUGCUGAACACAUAGGCAGUGUGGAGGGAACGCGGGGAAGUGAAACAUCUCAGUACCCGCAGGAAGAGAAAACAACCGUGAUUCCGGGAGUAGUGGCGAGCGAAACCGGAUGAGGCCAAACCGUAUGUGUGUGAUACCCGGCAGGGGUUGCGCAUGCGGGGUUGUGGGAUCUCUUUUUCAUAGUCUGCCGGCUGUGAGACGAGUCAGAAACCGUUGAUGUAGGCGAAGGACAUGCGAAAGGUCCGGCGUAGAGGGUAAGACCCCCGUAGCUGAAACAUUGACGGCUCGUUUAAGAGACACCCAAGUAGCACGGGGCCGAGAAAUCCCGUGUGAAUCUGGCGGGACCACCCGCUAAGCCUAAAUAUUCCCUGGUGACCGAUAGCGGAUAGUACCGUGAGGGAAUGGUGAAAAGUACCCGGGAGCGGAGUGAAAUAGUACCUGAAACCGUGUGCCUACAAGCCGUGGGAGCGUCGCGCAUCGAGCUUGCUCGGUGCGUCGUGACUGCGUGCCUUUUGAAGAAUGAGCCUGCGAGUUUGCGGUAUGUUGCGAGGUUAACCCGUGUGGGGAAGCCGUAGCGAAAGCGAGUCCGAAUAGGGCGUUUGAGUAGCGUGCCCAAGACCCGAAGCGGAGUGAUCUAGCCAUGGGCAGGUUGAAGCGGAGGUAAGACUUCGUGGAGGACCGAACCCACCAGGGUUGAAAACCUGGGAUGACCUGUGGUUAGGGGUGAAAGGCCAAUCAAACUCCGUGAUAGCUGGUUCUCCCGAAAUGCAUUUA